UCAGCUGAGAGGUCUUCACUGCGUAACCGGACAGCAGGUUGGAACAUGACGCGCUGGACUUUACGCCGCGCUGCUCGCUGAGCCCACAGCUCUCUGACUCUUGGGAUUUCUCGGGAGACACGAUGACUUUAUUCUUGCUUUUCAUUGGGACCUGGUACCACCUCGGGAUCGGCCCGUCAGUGGGCGCGGGGCACCGGGUCGUGUACACGAACCACUGGGCCGUGCGGGUCCCCGGCGGCCCCCAGCGAGCUGACAACAUCGCAGCCAAGUAUGGAUACAUCAACCUGGGAAAGUUACUGUUUGUCCCUGAAUUCAUCUUCCACCCUGUUGGGAGUUUGGAGGAUCAUUAUCAUUUCCACCACAGCAGAGUUGUUCGCAGAGCUUUGCACUCUGUGCGGGGCCCCCACAGCUUCAUCCGGAUGGAUCCCGAGGUGGACUGGGUCCAGCAACAGGUUGUAAAACCAAGAGUUAAGAGGAACGCCCAUGGCGACCCAAACGUCAUUCAUUUCAAUGACACCAAAUGGUCCAACAUGUGGUACAUUCACUGCAAUGAUAAGAGCAGCAGCUGUCGGUCAGAGAUGAACAUCCUAUCAGCCUGGCAGAGGGGCUACACUGGCAAAAAUGUGGUGGUCACCAUAUUGGAUGAUGGCAUUGAGAGGAACCACCCCGAUCUGGCUCAGAACUACGACCACCUCGCAAGUUAUGAUGUCAAUGGGAAUGACUUUGACCCUAUGCCACGCUAUGACUCCCGCAAUGAAAACAUACAUGGAACACGGUGUGCAGGUGAAGUUGCAGCAGUGGCCAACAACUCCCAUUGCAUUGUCGGCGUUGCCUACAAUGCUCACAUUGGAGGGAUUCGCAUGCUGGAUGGUGAUGUGACCGAUAUAGUAGAGGCCAAGUCCCUGGGAAUCCGACCUGACUAUAUUGACAUCUACAGUGCAAGCUGGGGGCCAAAGGAUGAUGGCAAGACGGUGGAUGGCCCAGGACCUCUAACCAAGCAGGCCUUUGAGCAAGGCAUCAGGAAGGGUCGCAAAGGCCUUGGGUCCAUUUUUGUCUGGGCGUCAGGUAACGGCGGCCGGCAGGGGGAUCACUGCUCGUGUGACGGUUACACCAGCAGUAUCUACACCAUCUCCAUCUCCAGCACCACAGAGAAUGGAAACAAGCCGUGGUACCUGGAGGUCUGCAGCUCCAUCAUGGCCACGACGUACAGCAGUGGGGAGUUUAACGAGAGGACAUUCGUGACUACUGACAUCUGGCAGCGCUGCACUGAUGCUCAUACUGGCACUUCAGUCUCUGCUCCAAUUGUGGCUGGAAUUAUAGCUCUCGCCCUGGAGGCCAAUCUUUUGCUGACAUGGAGGGAUGUUCAACAUCUUCUGGUAAAGACAUCCAGGCCAGUCCACCUGAAAGCUGACGAUUGGAAGACCAAUGCUGCCGGACACAGAGUCAGCCACCUGUAUGGUUUUGGCCUGGUGGAUGCAGAAGCCAUGGUGCUGGAGGCAACAAAGUGGAGGACUGUUCCCUCUCAGCACACCUGCAGUCAGGUGCCUUUGCGACGCUCCAGGUACAUCCAUGCUGGUCAAAGCCUCAACAGCAGCCUUACCACCUCUGGGUGUUCAGAAGAACCUGAGCAGCUCGUGGAGUAUAUGGAGCAUGUGGUGGUCAAGGUUAUGAUUAUCCACCCACGACGAGGAGACCUGGAGAUCAACCUCAUCUCCCCAUCUGGGACAAGAUCACAGCUACUGGCUAAGAGGCUUUUUGACAGUUCAAAUGAGGGCUUCAGGAACUGGGAGUUCAUGACGGUUCAUUUUUGGGGUGAGAGGGCAGCAGGCACAUGGACACUGGAGAUUACUGACACACCGUCAAAACCCCGCAACCCUGAGGUGCUUGGCAAUCUUAAAGAAUGGACACUGAUCCUUUAUGGCACAUCUCAUCACCCGUACCAGCCCGACAAAACUCAGCACUCCCCUACAAGAAUGUUAGCGGUCCCAGCCCCAGAUGAAGUCCUGCAGAAGCCAGAGCUCCAGGAGGAGGAGGAGGAGGAGGAGUACAAUGGACCAUGUCACCACGAGUGUGGAGACCAGGGCUGCGAUGGACCAGAUGUUGACCAUUGCCUGAACUGUGUCCACUUCAGUGCGGUCAGCUUGAAGAGUGGCAGAACCUGUGUGAGCCACUGUCCACUGGGACACUAUGAGGACACAGUGGCUCGCCGUUGUAGACGCUGCUACAAAGGCUGUGAGAGAUGCGUCGGCCAAUCAGCCGGACAGUGUCUUUCCUGUCGGAGAGGUCUUUACUUCGACACACUCAACUCCAGCUGCAUCGAUACCUGCCCCACAGGUUACUUUGCCGAUUGGAAUCAGAGACACUGUCUGAAGUGUCACAAGACCUGUAUGAGAUGCCUGGUGCAUGCAGAUGGAUGCAGUGCCUGCAUCGAAGGUUACAGUCUGGCAGGGAUGACCUGUGUUCCCGACUGCACCGAUGGAACCUUCUUCCAUUUGGAAGAGAUGACCUGCAGCCUGUGCCAUUCCUCUUGUAAGACCUGCACAGGACCAGGCAGGGAGGAGUGUAUCCAGUGCGCUGAGGGCCACCUGCAGCAGGAGUGGAGGUGUGCGCAGGCCUGUUCUCCUGGCUACUACUCUGCGGAGGCAGCAGGAGUCCCCCAUAAGAUGUGUCACAGGGGAGUGAUUCAUGGUGUGAGGAGAACUGUCUGAGCUGCAGUGGCCCAGGGACAACUUGCACCCAAUGCAAAGAGGGCUUUAGUCUGGUCAGCAGGACCUGUAUUGUGAAUGCAUCAUGCAGUAAUGCCGAUGAGGUGUUCUGUGACAUGGUCAAGUCCAACCGUCUCUGUGAGAAGAAGCUCUACCGUCAAUUCUGCUGCCAUACCUGUCUGUGGAAUGGAUGAGGAGCCAACCGUCUCCCGACACCACCUUCAUGCUUACUCCCAAUCAGUGUGAACAUAGCUUCCAUCUACUGCACCAAAUGUUCUUUUGAAUAAAGAAUUAGUGCUUUAA